rnacentral:rRNA from 1 species
UACAUGGGGUGCAAACGUUGCUCGGAAUUAUUGGGCGUAAAGCGCGCGUAGGCGGUUACUUAAGUCGGAUGUGAAAGCCCUCGGCUUAACUGAGGAAGUGCACCCGAAACUGAGUAGCUAGAGUACGAAAGAGGGUCGCGGAAUUCCCGGUGUAGAGGUGAAAUUCGUAGAUAUCGGGUGGAACACCGGUGGCGAAGGCGGCGACCUGGGUCGAGACUGACGCUGAGGCGCGAAAGCGUGGGGAGCAAACAGG